rnacentral:rRNA from 1 species
GACGAACGCUGGCGGCGUGCUUAACACAUGCAAGUCGAACGGAAAGGCCCUGCUUUUGUGGGGUGCUCGAGUGGCGAACGGGUGAGUAACACGUGAGUAACCUGCCCUUGACUUUGGGAUAACUUCAGGAAACUGGGGCUAAUACCGGAUAGGAGCUCCUGCUGCAUGGUGGGGGUUGGAAAGUUUCGGCGGUUGGGGAUGGACUCGCGGCUUAUCAGCUUGUUGGUGGGGUAGUGGCUUACCAAGGCUUUGACGGGUAGCCGGCCUGAGAGGGUGGCCGGCCACAUUGGGACUGAGCUACGGCCCAGACUCCUACGUUAGGCAGCGGUGGGGAAUAUUGCACAAUGGGCGGAAGCCUGUUGCAGCACCGCCGCGUGCGGGAUGACGGCCUUCGGGUUGUAAACCGCUUUCGCCUGUGACGAAGCGUGAGUGACGGUAAUGGGUAAAGAAGCACCGGCUAACUACGUG